rnacentral:rRNA from 1 species
AGCGAACGCUGGCGGCAGGCUUAACACAUGCAAGUCGAGCGGGCCCUUCGGGGUCAGCGGCAGACGGGUGAGUAACACGUGGGAACGUGCCCUUCGGUUCGGAAUAACUCAGGGAAACUUGAGCUAAUACCGGAUACGCCCUUAUGGGGAAAGGUUUACUGCCGAAGGAUCGGCCCGCGUCUGAUUAGCUUGUUGGUGGGGUAACGGCCUACCAAGGCGACGAUCAGUAGCUGGUCUGAGAGGAUGAUCAGCCACACUGGGACUGAGACACGGCCCAGACUCCUACGGGAGGCAGCAGUGGGGAAUAUUGGACAAUGGGCGCAAGCCUGAUCCAGCCAUGCCGCGUGAGUGAUGAAGGCCUUAGGGUUGUAAAGCUCUUUUGUCCGGGACGAUAAUGACGGUACCGGAAGAAUAAGCCCCGGCUAACUUCGUGCCAGCCGCCGCAGUAA